UAUCUUCAGGGCAGGGUGCAAUUCCCUACCGGUGGUACAGCCCACGAGCCGCAAGGCAUGAUUCGGUGAAACUCCGAAGCCGACAGUAAAGUCUGGAUGAAAGAAGAUA
rnacentral:ncRNA from 1 species